GGAGGGGUUCCCGAGUGGCCAAAGGGAUCAGACUGUAAAUCUGACGCGCAAGCUUCGGUGGUUCGAAUCCACCCCCCUCCACCA
rnacentral:tRNA from 18 species